rnacentral:rRNA from 1 species
UACGUAGGUGGCGAGCGUUGUCCGGAAUUACUGGGUGUAAAGGGCGUGUAGGCGGGGCGGCAAGUCAGAUGUGAAAUUCCGGGGCUUAACCCCGGCGCUGCAUCUGAAGCUGUCGUUCUUGAGUGUCGGAGAGGAAAGUGGAAUUCCCAGUGUAGCGGUGAAAUGCGUAGAGAUUGGGAGGAACACCAGUGGCGAAGGCGGCUUUCUGGACGAUAACUGACGCUGAGGCGCGAAAGCGUGGGGAGCAAACAGG